GUCAGGUAGUAAGGGCGCAGGGCGGAUGCCUUGGCUCUGGGAAGCGAAGAAGGACGUGGCCAGCUGCGAUAAGCCUCGGGGAAGAGCAAACAUCUUUUGAUCCGGGGAUUUCCGAAUGGGGUAACCCGCAUGGCUGUUGAGGCCAUGCACUGUUGAGUGAAUACAUAGCUCAUCAGGGCGAACUUGGGGAACUGAAACAUCUCAGUACCCAAAGGAAUAGAAAUCAACCGAGAUUCUGCUAGUAGCGGCGAGCGAACGCGGAAGAGCCCAAACCACCGGGUACGCCCGGUGGGGUUGUAGGGCCGCCAACAAAGGAUAAUUGGAGGAUUAGCUGAAGUGUCUGGGAAGGCACGGCAUAGAGGGUUAGACCCCCGUAAGCGAAAGUCUGAAGAUGUCCGAGGCGGUACCUGAGUAGGACGGGACACGAGAAAUCCUGUUUGAAUCUGGGGGGACCACCCUCCAAGGCUAAAUAUUACCCAGAGACCGAUAGUGUACCAGUACCGUGAGGGAAAGGUGAAAAGAACCUCGAACAGAGGAGUGAAAUAGUUCCUGAAACCCUGCGUCUACAAGCAGUGGAAGCAAUGCUGAUCUUCGGAUCACGUGCGACCGCGUGCCUUUUGCAUAAUGAGCCAACGAGUUGUCUGUCGGUGGCAGGUUAAGUUUAUAACGAAGCCACAGCGAAAGCGAGUUCGAAAUGAGCGUUCAGUCCCCGGCAACAGACCCGAAACCGAGUGAUCUACCCCUGUCCAGGUUGAAGCCUGGGUAAGACCAGGUGGAAGACCGAACCGUUGAGCCUUAAAACGUUCUCGGAUGAGGUGGGGGUAGGAGUGAAAGGCUAAUCAAACUCGGAGAUAGCUGGUUCUCCCCGAAAUAUAUUGAGGUAUAGCCUCGUGAUAGACCGCCGGAGGUAGAGCACUGGAUGGACUAGGGCCCUCACCAGGGUACCAAACCCAACCAAACUGCGAAUACCGGUGAGUUGUUUCACGGGAGUCAGACAGCGGGAGCUAACUUUCGUUGUCGAAAGGGAAACAACCCAGACCAUCAGCUAAGGCCCCCAAGUCAUGACUAAGUGGGAAAGGAAGUGGGAGCGCCCAGACAACCAGGAGGUUGGCUUAGAAGCAGCCACCCUUUAAAGAAAGCGUAACAGCUCACUGGUCGAGCGAGCCUGCACCGAAAAUUUAACGGGGCUCAAGUCAUGCGCCGAAGCUAUGGGAUUUAUAUUUAUAUAAAUCGGUAGGGGAGCGUUCCCUGUGCAGUGAAGCUGAAUCGAAAGGGUCAGUGGAGCGCAGGGAAGUGAGGAUGUUGGCAUAAGUAACGAAAAUGUGGGCGAGAAACCCACACGCCGAAAGCCCAAGGUUUCCCGGGCCAUGUUAUUCAGCCCGGGGUUAGUCGGCACCUAAGACGAGGCCGAAAGGCGUAGUCGACGGAAAACCGGUUCAUAUUCCGGUACUUGCAUGUGCGCGUGAUGGAGGGACGCAGGAGGAUAGGCCGGCCUGGUGAUGGAUAUCCAGGUUCAAGGCCGUAGGCGGAAGUCCCAGGUAAAUCCGGGACUUUAUCUAACGCCGAGAGUCGAUGACGAGAGGCUUUGCUUCGCAAAGCGGUCGAUUCCACACUGCCAAGAAAAGCUUCUAAGCAUAGCAGAUGCAAACCGUACCCCAAACCGACACAGGUGGGCGGGUAGAGAAUACCAAGGCGCUUGAGGGAAAUCAUGUUAAGGAACUCUGCAAAAUAACUCCGUAACUUCGGAAGAAGGAGUGCCUGCAGCGGUGAAGGGACUUGCUCCUGGAGCUUAAGCGGGCCGCAGUGACCAGGCCCAGCCGACUGUUUAGCAAAAACACAGCACUCUGCUAAAUCGCAAGAUGAUGUAUAGGGUGUGACGCCUGCCCGGUGCCGGAAGGUUAAUGGGAGGGGUUAGGUCUUCGGACCGAAGCUCCGAACUGAAGCCCCGGUAAACGGCGGCCGUAACUAUAACGGUCCUAAGGUAGCGAAAUUCCUUGUCGGGUAAGUUCCGACCUGCACGAAUGGCGUAACGAUCUGGGCGCUGUCUCAAUGUGAUUCUCAGUGAAAUUGAAAUGGCGGUGAAGAUACCGUCAACCCGCGGCAAGACGGAAAGACCCCGUGCACCUUUACUGCAGCUUGGCAGUGAACUUGGGAAAGAUUUGUGUAGGAUAGGUGGGAGGCUUUGAAGGGGGGGCGCUAGUCCCUCUGGAGCCACCCUUGAAAUACCACCCUGAUUUUUUCUGUGUUCUAACUUAGUCCCGUUAUCCGGGACAAGGACCCUGCCUGGUGGGCAGUUUGACUGGGGCGGUCGCCUCCUAAAGAGUAACGGAGGC
rnacentral:rRNA from 1 species